rnacentral:rRNA from 1 species
GACGAACGCUGGCGGCGUGCUUAACACAUGCAAGUCGAACGAAGUGGCGAACGGGUGAGUAACGCGUACUCAACCUGCCCUUCAGAGGGGGACAACAGUUGGAAACGACUGCUCAUACCGCAUACUGAAGGCGGGGCUUGCGUCUGCUUGGCUAGUUGGAGGGGUAACGGCCCACCAGGGCGAUGAUCAGUAGCCGGGCUGAGGGGAUGAACGGCAACAUUGGGACUGAGACACGGCCCAGACUCCUACGGGAGGCAGCAGUGGGGAAUCUUCCGCAAUGGACGAAAGUCUGACGGAGCAACGCCGCGUGAGUGAUGACGGCCUUCGGGUUGUAAAGCUCUGUUAAUCGGGACGCGGUACCGGAAUAGAAAGCCACGGCUAACUACGUGCCAGCAGCCGCGGCAAUUC